AGGAAUGUGGUUUAAUGGCAGAAUAUGUGCCUAGCAUGUGCAAAGCCCUGGGUUCCAUUCCCAGCACAUUAA
rnacentral:tRNA from 1 species